UGCAAAGGUUAUUGGAUCAGAUGGAUCCGU
rnacentral:sRNA from 1 species